UACGUAGGGUGCGAGCGUUAAUCGGAAUUACUGGGCGUAAAGCGUGCGUAGGCGGUUCCUCAAGUCCGUUGUGAAAUCCCCGGGCUUAACCUGGGAAUUGCGUUGGAGACUGCAAGGCUGGAGUCUGGCAGAGGGGGGUAGAAUUCCACGUGUAGCAGUGAAAUGCGUAGAGAUGUGGAGGAACACCGAUGGCGAAGGCAGCCCCCUGGGUCAAGACUGACGCUCAUGCACGAAAGCGUGGGGAGCAAACAGG
rnacentral:rRNA from 1 species